CUACAAGCUGCACGCAGUCAUCCAGUGAUUGAGAGGAGAGAGGAGGCUUUCAACGAACCUUGAGGAUUGAUUCUAAACAACGUUUACCAUGUUUCAGUCGAUAUUAUGGAGUUAAUUUGGAAAAAAGUUCAGCGUUUUGAAGACUGAAUUUUCGGGUUUUUUUGGUAGCCAAACGUGACGCACCAAACGGAGCAAUUUCUCCUAAACAAAUAAUCUUUCAGGAAAAACUGAGCAUUUGCUAUCUAACUGAGAGUCUCCUCAUUGAAAACAUCUGAAGUUCUUCAAAGGACCUGAGCCCUAGGACCAUGCCCCAGGACUACCUGACAUGAUGACUCCUUGCUGUCCCCAGUCCACCUGGCCAUGCUGCUGUUCCAGUUUCAACUGACCUGAGC
ensembl:lncRNA